rnacentral:rRNA from 1 species
UACGUAGGUGGCAAGCGUUGUCCGGAUUUACUGGGCGUAAAGCGCACGUAGGCGGAUUGUUAAGUUAGGGGUGAAAUCCCAGGGCUCAACCCUGGAACUGCCUUUAAUACUGGCAAUCUCGAGUCCGAGAGAGGUGAGUGGAAUUCCGAGUGUAGAGGUGAAAUUCGUAGAUAUUCGGAGGAACACCAGUGGCGAAGGCGGCUCACUGGCUCGGUACUGACGCUGAGGUGCGAAAGCGUGGGGAGCAAACAGG